rnacentral:misc_RNA from 1 species
CAAGUGAAAGCUGCCGAACGCUAGAAAUAGUGGAUAGGUGCUUUACACCCACCCGUGUUUACAUACUAUUGUUGCUUUGGCGGGCCGUGGCCUCCACUGCGGGCUCUGCUCGCGUGUGCCCGCCAGAGAACUAAAUUCUGAAUGUCAGUGAUGUCUGAGUACUAUCUAAUAGUUA